rnacentral:rRNA from 1 species
AUUACCUCAGUAACGGCGAGUGAAGCGGUAAUAGCUCAAAUUUGAAAUCUGGCUCUUUCAGGGUCCGAGUUGUAAUUUGUAGAGGAUGUUUCGGGCACGGUUACGGUUUAAAUUUCUUGGAACAGAAUGUCAUAGAGGGUGAGAGUCCCGUCUUGAACCGAUUACUUCGUCCAUGUGAAACUCCUUCGACGAGUCGAGUUGUUUGGGAAUGCAGCUCAAAAUGGGUGGUAAAUUUCAUCUAAAGCUAAAUAUUGGCCAGAGACCGAUAGCGCACAAGUAGAGUGAUCGAAAGAUGAAAAGCACUUUGAAAAGAGAGUUAAACAGUAUGUGAAAUUGUUGAAAGGGAAGCGCUUGUAAUCAGACUUGAGCUUAACAGUUCCCCCUUCGUUCUCGUUGGGUUAUUCUGUUUUGUCCAGGCCAACAUCAGUUCGAGUGGUUGGUUAAAGACUUUGGGAAUGUAUCUACCCUUCGGGGUCGACUUAUAGCCUGGAGUGUCAUGCAGCCUACUUGGACUGAGGAACGCGCUUCGGCUCGGAUGUUGGCGUAAUGGUUAUAAGCGACCCGUCUUGAAACACGGACCAAGGAGUCUAACAUCUAUGCGAGUCUUUGAGUGGAAAACUCCCAGGCGUAAUGAAAGUGAACGGAGGUAAGAAGCCUUUAGGCUGCAUUAUCGACCGAUCUUGAUGUCUUCGGAUGGAUUUGAGUAAGAGCAUAGCUGUUGGGACCCGAAAGAUGGUGAACUAUGCCUGAAUAGGGUGAAGCCAGAGGAAACUCUGGUGGAGGCUCGCAGCGGUUCUGACGUGCAAAUCGAUCGUCAAAUUUGGGUAUAGGGGCGAAAGACUAAUCG